CGCCCUUCUUGCAGAGCGGUCCCCUGAAGACGCCUUUGAUGCCGCGGUAGUGCCCGUUGCUGAGGUGCCGGGAGCUGAUGACCAGGUAUGAAAAUCUUCCACCACUGAACAGCUGGAACAGGUUGUUCUCCCUUUCUGCAAGACAGAGGUGCGAGGUACCUCGGACCCGCUUGUGCAGACUCAGUUUCUUCUCAUCAGGUCACAAGUAUCGUCUCUGCUCUGCUGCGUGCAAAGUCGAUAAAAUAAAUCAAUAAAUCACACAGCCUUAGUAGUCACCUGCAGAUCAUUCAUUUCUUCGAAGUAGAUGGUUUAAACUGUAGAUAAGAAUUGUUUCAGUUUUUUCACUUAAUCUCCUAAAAGCAUGUGCUUUCAGUUAUUAAUGAAACUGAUAAGGCACAAUCAUUCUAAUUUUAGAUUCUCAAGAGCUUUUUUCUAUGAACCUAAUGUAAAUAAAAGGAAAAUCUCACACAAUCCACCAAACUGAUAAAGAGAUAAUGGCAAAUCAAAUAUUAUUUUUUGACUGUUUAUGUAAAAUAGUGUUGUACAAUCCUAGUAUUCAGCAUUUUAUAGUGUUUCACAUACCAUAUUGAGUUUGACUAUGUGUGUGUAUGUACAUAUGUACAAAUCGUCAAAUAUAUUAUUAUGUAUUUUAUUAAUAAAUAUACAAUGUUAUAAAGAAAACAUAAUAAUUCUGAAUUUGGAAUAACCAGAGGUGGAAACAAUGUAUUAAGAACAUCCAUAUGUUAACCAUCAUACAGUGUCUUACAAUGUAAAAAUCUUUUAGGUAGGGGGUCAAAUUAAGGUGGUAAAACUGAGGUGUGAAAUAAAUGAAAGGACUUGGCUCUUUGCAUUAUGUGUGCAUUAUGGGACUCCUUGCUAAAGAGUGUUGUGGAUCACAGAUUAAACAGUCCUAUGAAUCAGAUCAGGCUUUGAAGCCUGGUAGCAAUACAGGUAGCAAAAGACCUCUGGAGGACUUUUCUGAAGGAAGAGAAGUUUGAGAAAUUGUAAUAAUGUACUGAAAAAAAAAAUAGUCCACUGUUAAUUUGGUGGUGAAAAGGAGUUUUAUGAUUUCCUCCUACAAGUCACAGAAGUCACAGCUACGUGAGUGACUUGAAAUUUAUUCUUGUUGGCAUAUAUAUUAACUGCAAGUUCUUCCUGAAAUAAUUCCUCUGCAAACCUGUUAAAGAUAAAAGUAUUGUCUUCACUUUGAAUUUUGGUCUGCAUCAUAGCUUUCUGACUCCACACUGAAUAUGUAUCUGGAAGUAAAGACGAGCACCUUUUCUCUUUGGCAAUGAAAUGAACUUCCAAAAACUUUGCUUCUCUAUGAUGCAGCUGAAUAGAAACAAUGAAAAUUUACAUCUCAUCUUGCA